rnacentral:rRNA from 1 species
UGGGGAAUUUUGGACAAUGGGCGCAAGCCUGAUCCAGCCAUGCCGCGUGAGUGAAGAAGGCCUUCGGGUUGUAAAGCCCUUUUGUUGGGAAAGAAAUCCUGUCGGCUAAUACCCGGCGGGGAUGACGGUACCCAAAGAAUAAGCACCGGCUAACUUCGUGCCAGCAGCCGCGGUAAUACGAAGGGUGCAAGCGUUACUCGGAAUUACUGGGCGGAAAGCGUGCGUAGGCGGUUCGUUAAGUCCGUCGUGAAAGCCCUGGGCUCAACCUGGGAAUUGCGAUGGAUACUGGCGAGCUAGAGUACGGUAGAGGAUGGUGGAAUUCCCGGUGUAGCGGUGAAAUGCGUAGAGAUCGGGAGGAACACCCGUGGCGAAGGCGGCCAUCUGGACCAGUACUGACGCUGAGGCACGAAAGCGUGGGGAGCAAACA